GGUGGCUAUAGCUCAGUGGCAGAGUCCGAGGCUGUGAACCUCGUCGUCCUGGGUUCGAUUCCCAGUAGUCACCCCCA
rnacentral:tRNA from 1 species